UACGGGGGGGGCAAGCGUUGUUCGGAAUUACUGGGCGUAAAGGGCUCGUAGGCGGCCAACUAAGUCAGACGUGAAAUCCCUCGGCUUAACCGGGGAACUGCGUCUGAUACUGGAUGGCUUGAGUUUGGGAGAGGGAUGCGGAAUUCCAGGUGUAGCGGUGAAAUGCGUAGAUAUCUGGAGGAACACCGGUGGCGAAGGCGGCAUCCUGGACCGAGAUUGACGCUGAUGCGCGAAAGCCAGGGGAGCAAACAGG
rnacentral:rRNA from 1 species